AUGGAUCAUUCCUCUGUUUGUGGAUUUUGCUUCCUGUGCUAGGGAUGUUUCCGAUCUUUUACCCUACACUUUGAAGAGGGCAGGUAAAUUAUUUACCCCUUUCAAUGGCACAUUAACUGAAUCUGUCAGGUUUCUGCUAUAAUUGCAUGCUAUUUGGUUACUUGGAUUCUAUGUAUUUGUUUAGAUAAGUGGUUGAUGGUCAUUUAGUAGUUUUUCUCCAAUCACACAUGGGUUCUUACAUAUCAGUCGAUUUGAAUAACUUAAACGGAAAAUCAUAGCAUAAUGUUGCUCAAGCAUCACAAUGCCUUUGCCGGAUCACUUUACCUGUUAAAAGGGGGAGACAGUUUCCUUUAGUUCAGUCGUCAUAUAACUAUUCUGUUCUGAUUGUAACAAUAUGAUGUAUAAAGCCGAUUUAUUGAUGCAGGUAGAAACCUGACAUUGCUUCAUAAGUGCCUAAAUUCAAUGUGCAGAUUUAUGAUUUUCUCUCUUCCGAGUGAUCAUUGAUUGCAUCAUAUUUAUCCUAUGAUUACUGGCUGAACUGUCUAGACUUAUCUUUUUGUUUAAAUUUAUCAUGGAUUAUAGCAGAAUAUUGGCUUUUGUAUUUUGUUCGAUUUUAAAAUGUUUUUAGUUGUUUCCAGCUUCCAGUUUAUGAUUUCUAAUUGCCAGUGACUUUGAGAAUGUCAUUUCAUAAGUAGCUUAAUUUCAACAUAGCCUCACUUAUGGAUGUUGGAUAAUUAUUUUGAAUUUCAUACAAAUGCUCAAUAGUAGACCGUUACAGAAUAUGCUUGAAAUCAUACUAAGAAUAGAUUGAAACAAGUAAGGUAUUGCAGUGAAGGAUAGUAGCAGAUAGAGUAUAGAUUUUUCACACUCUUUUUUCCAAUAGCUAUCCCCACCCUUAUACUCACUGUCACACUAACUUCAAAUCUCUUAGUUUAUGAUUAGUCCUUCUCAUAUCCUCCUUGGUUCCUGCAUCAUUCCUAACCGCCUCCACCUGGCAGUCUUGUUGCCCGGCUUUACAUGGGAGUGUCGACUCCACCAUUUGUAUUAUAACAAUGUUAUGUUUUAUUCCUUUGUAAUUCUCUUACCUGAUAAAUGUUUAUGAAGAUAUUUUCUGCCGCGCACUUUAAUCAUUUUGAUCUUCCACGACAAGCGUGCACACGAAUGCGCUCACUCAAGGCUGACAUCUCUUUUCUGUAUUAUAAUCCAACAUAUAUGAUCCUAGUUGUUCCAAGUAACGCUUCUGACAAUGUUUACUGCACAGUUAUUGCUCAAAGUUCUGUUUAUGAAGCAAUGACAAUUCCAGUCACUCAAGUGAAAUUGUCAAUGGAUGACAAAAUUGUCUACUACCUUUCUAUGUUAGUUCAUUGAGCAUGAUAUUUGUCUGUUCUAAUAGAUAUCUUGUGGUUGGUAACUUUAAGAUGUUAUAGCUGUAUUUAUCAUAUUUCGGCUGCAAGACUGGUACUCUUUUGGUUAACUCAUGUUUUGUUGCAAUGUUAUGCAGAGAAUGACAGAUAGACAGAACAAUGUUGUAGUUAAUAACCAGUUUUAUGGAGGUCAAGGGUACCUAUGGCAGAGAGACAGAACAAUGUUGAAUGGAUUCUACUUUUUCAGAAAUGAACUAUGUUAAUUUGAAUGUAUUAUCAAUGUUUCUUUCAGUGGUCUACUUAUGUAACAAACUUAUUCUCUCGGCUUUAUUACUGC
rnacentral:lncRNA from 1 species